rnacentral:lncRNA from 1 species
UCUAGUAAGAGAACAUGCAGAAUGAGAUAAAAAUCAAUGUUUCGUACAACUAAUUAUGAUCUAACAACUUGAUGUACCCAUGAUAAACAACGACAACCGAAACGAACAAGUGUGUGGAUGAUGUGUGCCUUUGGAACCCACAUCGUCACCGUUCUGGGUUUUCAACAUUAAAGAUAUGAAUCUCUAGCCCAACAACAAUAACAUGUAUAAUAUUGCCAAAUAAAUUUACGAUUGAAUGUGAUAGACGUUUCUAAAACAAUAAUUGUAACCAUACAAAAGUAAAAAUAGAACGUUGUCCAGAGCGAAGCACCCUACGUUCCAACCACUUGCAGUACAGUGACCAUCCUUACUGUCUACAUCAGAAAACGUCUUUUAUUUGCAUUUGAAUCAUACUACACCGCGGUAGCAACCUUACCAAACCGAAGUCAUCGUACAUGUCGUUGAUUAAACUGUCGAACAUAGAAAUGUUAAGAAUAAGCAACUGAUGAACGAAUAAUAACAUCAAUCUAAUCGAAGUUAUCAUGGAAGUCAAUUGAUGAAUGCAACUUGUCAUAAUCGUUCUCGUGUACAUAAAUCUCUACCCCCACUUCAUGUGANNNNNNNNNNNNNNNNNNNNNNNNNNNNNNNNNNNNNNNNNNNNNNNNNNNNNNNNNNNNNNNNNNNNNNNNNNNNNNNNNNNNNNNNNNNNNNNNNNNNUAAAUUUAUAAAGUUUAGGGUUAAAGGAGAUUGAUAUAAGCGGAUUCAGAAUUCUAGUAUAUUUUCAUUAUCAUAUUUUUUUUUAUAAGAUUUACAUUUAAUUUAAGUCUUGAAUUAAUUUUAAUUAAUUUAGGUCCUGCAUUCAUUCAUAAUUUAAGUGGUUACAAUUUAAUCUUAGAAAAAUCAUCAAUUCUUUUGCUUCGGUCAAGAUGAAGAUAAUUUGAAUUUAAACUAGUACAAUAUUUGUGGGACGAUACUUGGACUCAAAAUCCACUUUAAUACUUGUUAACGAAUCGUACACUUGCGGUGAUUUUAAUUCUAAAGAUAAUUUUGUGAAUAGAGGGCUCCAAAUAUCCACGAAGUAUAUCUUUCACUGACAAUAUAGAAUUUACAAGUAUCAUUACAAAAGUUUUUUAAUAUAUAAUUCAUCAUAUACGACGUUUAUUAAAUAAGAUAUUUGGAUGACGAUCUCUCAUUUUUCUUAUAGGAUUCGGUCGAAAUGAGAUAUAUAAGUCUAGCAUACAACUUCUAUACCAUUCACCCCUGGGAUUAUUUCCAGCUUAUUAGCUGAACGCAUCAUUGGAGUGGCUUUAUGAACCUUUCCCCCAGUGUUCGUUAAACUAGUUAAUACUAAAACGACUCUGAUGCCUUUUCAAGCUUCAUUUAACGCAAUCUUACCAUAAACAAGUACAAUCAUAGUAGUUAUGAUAAUUAGAAACAAUUUUAAGAAAGAACCCAAGAGUAAUUUAACUUUCAACUGACUAAAGUCUAUUAUGAUUUCGAACUUAUGUGGGCCAGUUAAAGUUCAGUCCAAAAAUUUAAAAUAAGCUCUCUUGGUGUAUGCGUGAUCCCUUUUCCAUCAAGAAAAUUAAUCUAUGGUUUAUAGCUUUGGACACAUUUCAGGAUUUGGUAGAUCUAAGCCAGAUUCAUGCAUCUAAACUCCACGAGCUAAUUUUGUAUGAUGUAUGUGUCCGACUUGCUUAAUCUAUUAAAUGCUCGUAAUGUAUGGCUUGAAAAAAAAAUUAUUUUCACUACUCCAGAAGAAAUUCUCAUUUCAAAUGCCAAGUGCUCUCCUUGUUACACAUCAAUCUUAGUUCUUCUCAAUCUUUUAUUUGACACAAGCUCCUCUCAUAAAAUUACUUCAUUUUUAUUUUUUUAUACAUAGAUCUAAAGAAUUUCAGUUCUUUUCAACCCUGUUUUUUGGCUGGUUGAGCUCCAUUUUGGUAAAAUAUAUGCCCACCUUCUCAAUUUCGCUUGAAAGAUUCUAAUUUUUUCAACCCCGCAUAACUUCUGUGUUCAGGUACCUUUGGUUUCAUAAAAAUGGAUAACAAUUAAUUAUGAAAAUAAAUUGUUAGAAUUAGAAUUUUAACUUUUUAUUGAAUGUCUACAAUUUUUUAGCCCACAUUAAGAUUUUAACUUUAUCAUUUGGAACUCUUUCAUUUGUUUCAUCCUAUAUGCAACAAUAUACAUUUUUACUGAUUUUGUUAUAUUUUAUACAGAUAAUUCUUCAUUUUUUUGCUGCAGCAAAAAAUUCAAAGAAUUUUACUUGAAGCACAUUAGAAAAAUGCUUGAUUCACUUGGAGCAGAGAAGAAAAAUCGAAUCAGAUAAGAGAUGGCUUGCUGCAAGUUCAUUAAUUCCUGGAAUCGAAGUCACCAAUUAUAACGAGUCAGCCACAAAACACCUUCCAAACUCAUCAACCUAUUUCGUCAACGAACCCUUGAAUCCUUUGGCGAUGAAUCUCAGUCCAUUUUACGAAAAUUUCACGACUAUUUCAAAUCUUCUUUCCUCACAAACAAGAAUUAGUCCAUGUUUGUUCACUUCCGAUGACCCCAUAUCAUUUUUUUGCUCAAAACAAAUCAAGAUCAGUUCACGUUUUGGAUUUGGUUCAAAGAAUGAUGAUCAAGAUGCUGAAUUAACCAGUUGCAGUACUCACUGAAAUUCAGAGUUUCUAAGGUUGGCAGAUAUUCAAAAGACAAAGAAAUAUACUUGUGUACGACAACGUACAAACUUUGAAGUCAUUCAUGUUAUGUUUCGAACUCUGGACCUUACAAUGUAGAAAGUAUGCUUCCCAAAUUUUAUGAGGGAAGACGUGUUUUAUCAAAUAGCACUUUACUUAGUGGAUGCUAUUUGCUGGACCAUGACACCUGGCUUCUAAAUGAUCAUCACAACUUAUUCUAGAGACUUCCGAUAUUAAUAUCUUCCAAUGUGAUGGUUUGACUGGAGAUUCGAUUCACUUCAUCUCAUUCUUGGGUUCGACUGUUCUUCUGUCCUCUAGAGGGAAACCCCAUUCUUCGUGUUAGGGUUUCUCAUUCUUGAGUAAUUAGUGUGUGUAAAUGUUAGAAUCUUUCUGAUAUACUCCAGAUCGAAAACCCGUGGUACUUUUUUGAGUGGUUUGUGUAAAGAAUUUGUGAUUAACAUAAAUUGCAAUAAUCAAUCGACAAUUGCAAGGGCACGGAAUAGUGUAUAUAAUGGUAAAUCUUGACAUAUACGUCGGAGACAUAAUACUAUUAAAUUGAUUAUAUUGAAUGGUAUAAUCUCGUUUCAUUGUAUUAAGUCAAAAGAACUUAGCUGAUCCUUUGACGAAAUGACAAACCAAAGAUCAAGUAUACCAUCUUCCAAAGGGAAUGGGUCUAAAGCCUAUCGAAUAGAAUCACUAUGACGGAAAUCCAACCUUGAAGAUUAGAGAUCACAAGAUUUUGGUUCAAUAGGACAACUAAAUCACAAAAGAUUUAGAGUAAAGCACUUACUCUCAUUUCUAAAAUUUGAAGUGUUAUAAUAAAUGUGUAUAAAGGAUAAGUCAAAACUUUUAAUUAUUCCUACACUUUGGAAGAAAGGUAAGAGAUCACAUAUGUAAGUGUGAAGUAGGGUCGUUUCUAUGAGAAUUUGAGGCUUAAUUUUCUUAAAGCACUUAUGAAAUCAAGAGUUGUUCAGGGACAAAAUGGACACAACCAUGAAAAUCGAAGAGGUAAGAUGAGUUAUGGUAUUUAUAUAGUUGUUUUGAUUUACACGAACGAUUGAAUAGUUCAAAACAUCGCGUUCACUAAUUAGCCUAGUAAAUCCGAUUGUACUUGACUAAAAAGGGUUCAAAGCCACAAGCUACCUAUUUUGAAGCUAUAACUUGUCGCAUGUACUUCAUUGUUAGAGUCUGCAUUUUAUUUGCAUUUUGUAGUACAUAUCAAGGAAUUUCCAUUCAUGUGGGAGAUUGAUGGAAUUGGUUUAAAGAUAUAGAAAAUUUGGUUAAGUAUAACUUGGAAAAGUGACUCGAUUUCAACUUUCAGAAAAUAUUCAAACUUGAUCCGAUAGUCAAAUUAAGAAUAUAAAUGAACUAACUUGUUCUACUUGUCGAGUAGAUUGUCGUGGUAUAUUUAAAAGGAAAAAACCAAUUCCGGAUAAGUAAGAAAUUACGGUCCAAAGUUGGAAGGAAAGAGGCAACAUGAUCGCUCGCUUGGCGCUAGCCUAUCUCUUGAACGACAAUCCAGCGAAGAGCAAGCAACGAUCUCUCUAUUUUUUACACUCAAGUGAGGCCUAUGCGGAAAGCUAGUGACGUCAAGUGCUCCGACCUUUAACAACAGCUGUUGAGUUUUAGGUUGUGUUUCUUCUAACCCAACUUUUCCCCUCUAUAAAUAGGACCCUUAGGACGUUCAUUUCUUUACACCAAUGAUAUGCAAUCAUAAGAAUAACAUUCUCUCUUCUCUCUUAACCAAAUUGUGUAUAAACUUUUCAUAAAAUUAUGGUUUUCUUUCAUUUUGCAUUAAAGAGUAUGUAUACCAUAUUCUGGUUCGUUGUUCUUAUAUGUUGAAGUGCUACACAUACAAGAAGGAGUCGUUGUAUCUUGGGAGUUGAUUGCCAUAAACUAUAGGCAUCGUUACCGAACAAAUUCUAUUUAAGGACAAAGCGUUUAACACUUGCUUCAACUUUGCAUCCAUAUUUUGUCUCAUUUGCAACAUACUUUGGCGUUAUUUUGUGACAUUCACUACCCUCAUUUGAAGGAAGAUCUGAUUUAUUUCCUAUUGUUACUCUGCGGAAAUUUCCAUAGAAGAUUGAUAAAAACAUUCCAGGUGCUUGAUUGUCACUUCGUCCACUUAAUUUUUCAACACAAAGCACAUGCAAGUCAUUAUUUUUCAUCAUAUCGACUUUAGAGGAUGGAAUCCUAACACUUGAGAAGAUUCAGGAGAGUUAGAAUCCAGUUGACAUGAUGACGAAGACUGUUUCAAUUGAAGUUGUAUGCAAUUUUAAUUGUACUUCUUUUUUGAGGAAUCAUGAGUUAUUGCCACUAUAGGUGAGUCAUUGAUAGUGAACUAGCCUCCAAGUGAGAGAUUGUUAAGUUAUGAUACUUAAUUAUUGUCAAUUUAAGUAUUGCCACUUCGUGUAGCCGGUCAUGAAUUGACCUACGUAGUGAGGUCGUCAUAGAGAUUGGAAAGAGACAGGAGGAUUCGCCUCACGGGGGGUUGCGGGGAUGAAGUCUUCUGGACUAAAAUUUCAUUAAUGUUGUUUAGAAAUUUGUAUUCUUAUAAAAUUCUAUGAAAAAAUUGGAAUCCUUGUAAAAUUCAAUUUUGUCCUAAUUAAUCUUAUAAAUAAAGAGCCGUCCUUAAACUUUAUUAUUAUUGUAACAGUCCGAAUUAUAAAUUUUAAUUUUCAUGUGGGCUAAAUUUAAUGUUGGUAAUUUAGCAAAUAAAAUAAUUCAUGUCUAGCAUUGUCAUCACACUAAAGUCCAAAAGUUGAAAUGAUAAAUACGUCCCACUUAUUUGCAUAAAUGGAUUAUUUUGCAUACGUAUACUUUUAGAAUUUACAUAAGUUAUUUGGGUCAAAUAUUUAAAUAUAUUUUGUUGAUAAAAAUAAAUAUAUCGAUAUUAUAUUCAUUUUGUAGCUCGUGCUAAAUAACAUAAAUUGGCUCAAGAAGAAAUAAUUUUGAACUAACCAUAAUCGAGUUAUCUUGAUAGAAAGAAAAUUAUUCUAAUCGUAUAUUUUAUUAAUAAAAAACAUAUAAUAAUGAUAGGUAUAUAUUAAAUAGUAAAAUGAAGAUGGGAAGAAACGUUUCUUGGAAUUGAAACAAAAGGUAGAAAUCAACAACUUUUAAUUAAUAUAUGCUAGGGUAAUUGGUACAAAACGUCCCUACCUUUAAAGUUUAUUGUGGAAAACUUCACCACCUUUCAUUUUUUGACAUUUUUGUCCUUAUUUCCACAUUUCUUUGUUGAAAACGUCAUUUUCACCAUUUUUAGUGUAAAAUAACUAAAAUACCCUCCCAUUUAAAUAAAACAAAAAAAAUAAAUAAAGAAUAAAUUACAAUUUUCUUCUAAAUGUUUUAAAAAGUGCAAGUAAGUCCAAAUAAUUAUUAAAAUGCCUAAUAGCACAAAAUGUCCUUACGUUUGGUCUAUAAUGUGAAAAAGGUCCCUACAUUUCAAAUUGGUGAAAGAGAUGUUUUCCGCAAUUAAAAGUGAAAAUAGGGAUGAAAACGCAAAAAAAUUGAAACGUAGGCACAUUUUCCGCAAGAAAGGUCAAACGUAUGGAUUUUUUUUUUCCUUUUAGGCCUUAUUAAAUAUAUAUAUAUAAUCUCCAAAUGGGAUUCCCACAUUAGAAGAGAAAAAACUUUCACUAACCAUCGACCAAACUAUCGAACCUCUAUAUCGCCGAACUAUCUGUUGAUAUUUUAAGACUAUAAAGAGAGGCGCCUGUUACGCCCCUAUCUGAACCACCUUGAAAUGUUCACCACCACACACUCUGAUCUGCUAGACACCCACCCGAAGUGGUUCCGAAGUGAUAUCCCCCAUAUCAACGAUCUGCUAUCACACUGCGAAUUGCUGAACUGACCGAAGUGCCUUUCGCCCUUGAGGCCGAGGCGAAGUGCACUCCGGGGACCUUUAUCAGAAGAUCCGUCGCCAAUUUCAGAAGGAGAUCUUUGCCAAUAUCAUUUUCUGCCCCUAAGGUUUAAAUUGAUUUGACGUCUCCAUGAGGCUAGUUGAUGUGACUUAUCAACUUUAUGUCAAUUCAACUCGGGAGAAGCAAUUACCCGCCCACUCUACAGAUUCGGCUGAUUGACGCCUAUGAGCAGACGCCUCAUACCGUCAGAUGUAUACACGUGCCCCACAUCCAACGAUUCAUCCCACCUAUAAAUACCUAAGGGUUGACAAGAGGCAAAGGUAAUGAAACUCUUACUACAUAGCACUCCAUAGCAAGCAUAUAUAUAUUUUCUCCUCCCCCUUAAUUAUUUGGCACAACCCCUAGGUAUUGUUCCGACCACCUGAACCUGACUUGACCGUCGGAGUGUAUAUGGCCGCCGUUACCCCCGCUGGUCCUGACCGUAUACGUCUGACCGUGCGUUGAUUGUACGCAGGGAGGAAUACGUGGAGUAGCUCUCAGUUGGCCACGUGGAAGGUCCAAUUUUCGAGGUCAACAAUUGACACCGUCUAUGGGAAACACUUCCCAUUCAAAGUUCUGCAUUCUCCAUCAGAGAAAUCACCGAAAAACUAGCGACUAACCCUGAAAAGGGCACGUUCUUGAAAAAGAACAAAGUCGAGUUAUAAUCCAAGUUCUCACCACCCUUAAAAAAGGGGAUAGGAUGAGUUAUAGCCAUGAGGACGACAACCCCAUGAGGGAGGCCUCUGAAGAGGAGGUGCUCCAUAACAAUGUUACUCACCAGAGACCUCAUCACCGGCGUCGUCGAGAUGAAAGAAUAGCCAUGCUCACUGAAAGAAUGGCUCAAAUAGCUGCGAGCAUGAGAGACAUCGUAGCUCAGAAUAUAGCGAUGCAUGAACUUCUCAUGCAAGCCCGAGGUCACUGGGGCUCUCAAAUGUCCUAAUGAUCUUACCCAGUGCAGGAAGCCCAAGUAUCUCGUUCCCGAGGCCACAUCAGUUGGCACAAAGAACACCCCCUCGAAAGAGAAGUGGGCACCGAAGCCACAUCUUAUGUGCAAAGGAACCAGCCAUCAAAAUCACACUUGAGGACAAUUCCCCUCAAGAAUAUGAGAAAGACAGGUUGGUAAGCAUCUUCGACCGGAUAGAAGAUGAUCCUAGCAAUAGGGUCCGUCUAGUGAGAAGAUCAGUUCGGCCAGAUCAGGAACAAGAACAGGCUCCUCCUCCUCCUAGAAAUAGGAGGGAUAGGAGAAACCUAGUCGAUUGGGGAAGUCGAGGAGAAGCACCUCCACCUCCCCAGAACAUUCAAGAUGAUGAAGGGUUAGAUGGGCCUUGUCGGUCUUAUGAGAUUGACGAUGACUAUGAUAACCUCCCUUUCUCAAGGGAGAUCCGAAGCUUCCCUAUGCCAGCAAAUUUCAUACCCCCAAGAUCUCCAAGUAUGAAGGAAAGGGGGACCCGGAGAAGUACCUCAUCAAGUAUAUGACACAAAUGAGUCUCUGGGGAGUCUCGCCUACUUUGAAAUGCAGAGCCUUCCAUUUAACACUAGGCGGAGCCGCCGAAGAGUGGUACAGCAGGCUUCCUCUCCUAAGUAUUAGAAGUUGGCCAGAUUUGAGGAAGACAUUCUUGAAUCAGUACCUCUCGCGAAGAGAAUGGGAGGCCCCAGUGCAACACUUGCAAGACAUGAGGCAGCCCCUGGAGAGACGCUCAAAAGCUAUCUCGCCAAGUUUACGGAUGAAAUCACAUACUGCGAACAGGUCACUGACAGAGAAGCCCUUUCAGCCCUGAAAGGCGGCCUCAACAUGAAUACUUUGUUUUGGAGAGACGUGCGCAGCAAGAAUCCUUCCACCUAUGACGAACUCGUGGAAAUGAUAAGAGUUGAAAUCGUGAGUGAAUAAAUGAUUGAUCAUCGAAAUCAUGUUGCACAGGGACUUCCUCCGCCUCAGCCACACUAAAUGCAGUGCCGGUAUUGGCAUAUGAAAAUGCUCCUGGCGAAGUGGGGCCAUCUGGAAGAAAUGAUAGCAAGAAAAAGAAGAAGAAUCGAUCAAACAGGCCCUUGGAAGGGGCAAGGUUUUGCACUUUCCAUCAACUCUAUAAGCAUGACACCAACGAAUGCAGAGACUCUCCUCGACACCCUUCCAGGAGGAAUGAAUAUCCUCGCAGAUCUAUCUCCCCGAAUAGGGGAGAUCAAAGGCACAGAGAUCAGUCACCCCGGAGAAGAGAAUCAAGAGACUAAGGAGAGUCCAGGCAGAGAGAUUAGGCCCCAUUUUCUGGGGGCCAAAUCAUCAAGAAAAUCGAUACCAUCAUUAGGGGACCUCACAUCAGUGGCAACACCAGGAAUGCCCAAAGAAAUUAUACAAGGGAAGUAAAGGACCCACCAAUGAUCAUUUACAUUGUCAACGAGUCCCAAGAGGCCAACAUGAUAGCCCCAAUUACCUUCUCCCAGGAAGAUGCGUAAGGAGUUCACCAUCCCCAUUGCGACGCACUAGUUGUGAGAGCCGUAGUAACCAGAAAUGGGCUCAAACGCAUGCUCGUCGACAAUGGCAGUUCGGUGAACAUAUUGUUCGGCUCCACCUUUGACAAAAAACAGAUUGAACAUGGGUUGAUCCCCAUGACCGGCCCACUAUUUGGAUUUACUGGGGACAGUAUCGUCCCACGAGGGCGGAUCACUCUGCCCGUCGAGAUGGGUUUGAUACCUCUAGUGGCCCAACACUUCAUGAAAUUCUUAGUGAUAGACUACAGAUCGGCCUAUCAUGGAGUAUUGGACAGAUCCGCUUUGAAAGAUCUUUGGGCCGUCACAUCCAUCCAUUAUUUGUGUAUGAAAUUCCCAACAGAACAUGGGAUUGCAACGAUCCGAGACGAUCAGAUGGGCUCCAGGGCAUGCUACUUAAACUCGCUGCGAAAGUCGGAGUCUCGAACUGUUAAUGUAAUCCUAACUGAGGUUCCCACUGAAACCAGCACAGACGUGGAAAUGCUCGACGCUCCUAAACAAAGGCAUAUCUCUGAACAAGAGGAAGACAUCGACAUGGAAGAGGCCCCCGAACAAGGGCUUGAUGAGUUAGAUCCCCGAAUAAUUAACCCUGAACCAAAUGCAACCCCAAUGGAAGAGCUGGAAACUUUCUCUGCUAGCCCAGAAGACCCCAGUCAGGUCUUGCGUAUAGGGAAGACACUGUCCUCUGAAACAAAACAAGAUAUGAUAAGCUUCCUGAAAAGGAACUUGGAUGUCUUCACUUGGAAGCAUGAAGACAUGGUGGGAAUAGAUCCAAGAAUCAGUUGCCACUAUCUUAACAUCAACCCCUCUUAUGCCCCCCAUCGACAGAAGAGACGUGCCCUCAAUCCGGAGAGGUACGAGGCAUUGAAAGAUGAAGUAAACAAACUUAGCCGCAUUGGAUUCAUAAGGGAAACCAUCUACCCGAAGUGGAUAUCCAACCCGAUCCUGGUG